CCUAGUCGAGCGAUCGGGCAUGGAUAAUAAACUGGCAUAAAAUUGUACACCGAAGCUAUGGGUAAUAUUUAUAUUACGGUAGGGGAGCAUUCCAGCGGCAGCGAAGUUGUAGCGUAAGCUAUGGUGGAGCUUCUGGAAAAGCAAAUGUAGGCAUAAGUAACGAUAAGGCGGGCGAGAAACCCGCCCACCGAAAGGAUAAGGUUUCCUGAUCAACGCUAAUCGGAUCAGGGUUAGUCGGGGCCUAAGGAGAACCCGAAGGGGAUAUUCGAUGGACAACGGAUUAAUAUUUCCGUACUUUUUAUAACUGCGAUGUAGGGACGGAGUAGUGACACUGCCGCGAUCUGACGGAAUAGAUCGUUGAAGGCUGUAGGUAUAGGACCGGUAGGCAAAUCCGCCGGUCUUGCUAAAGGCUGAUAGUACCGCAAACCUUCGGGGGCGUGGAUAGUGCAGGUAAUCAGACUUCCAAGAAAAACUGCUAAGCUUCAGGUUAUAAAAACCCGUACCGCAAACCGACACAGGUAUCCGGGAAGAGAAUUCUAAGGUGCUCGAGUGAAUCAUGGCUAAGGAACUCGGCAAAAUGGCCCUGUAACUUCGGGAGAAGGGGCGCUGGUAGCAAUAUCAGCCGCAGUGAAAAGGCCCAGGCGACUGUUUAACAAAAACACAUGGCUUUGCAAAAUCGAAAGAUGAAGUAUAAGGCCUGACACCUGCCCGGUGCUGGAAGGUUAAGAGGGGAUGUCAUCCGCAAGGAGAAGCAUUGAAUCGAAGCCCCAGUAAACGGCGGCCGUAACUAUAACGGUCCUAAGGUAGCGAAAUUCCUUGUCGGGUAAGUUCCGACCUGCACGAAUGGUGUAACGAUCUGGGCGCUGUCUCAGCCAUGAGCUCGGUGAAAUUGUGGUCCCGGUGAAGACGCCGGGUACCCGCAACGGGACGGAAAGACCCCAUGCACCUUCACUACAAUUUAACAUUGACAUUGGAUACAGGAUGUGUAGGAUAGGUGGGAGACAGUGAAGCGGCGUCGCCAGGCGUCGUGGAGUCAACGUUGAAAUACCACCCUUUCUGUAUUCGGUGUCUAACCCCGCUGGUCGGGGGACAUUGUUUGAUGGGUAGUUUGACUGGGGUGGUCGCCUCCAAAAAGGUAACGGAGGCUUUCAAAGGUAAGCUCAAUACGCUUGGUAACCGUAUGAGGAGUGCAAUAGCAUAAGCUUGCUUGACUGUGAGGCAGGCAAGCCGAGCAGGGUCGAAAGACGGAUAUAGUGAUCCGGUGGUUCUGCAUGGAAGGGCCAUCGCUCAAAGGAUAAAAGGUACGCUGGGAUAACAGGCUGAUCUCCCCCAAGAGCUCAUAUCGACGGGGAGGUUUGGCACCUCGAUGUCGGCUCGUCACAUCCUGGGGCUGGAGAAGGUCCCAAGGGUUCGGCUGUUCGCCGAUUAAAGUGGCACGCGAGCUGGGUUCAGAACGUCGCGAGACAGUUCGGUCCCUAUCUGUUGUGGGCGUAGGAAUUUUGAGUGGGGCUGACCUUAGUACGAGAGGACCGGGUUGGACUAGCCUCUAGUGAAUCUGUUGUUCCGCCAGGGGCAUUGCAGAGUAGCUACGCUGGGAUUAGAUAAGUGCUGAAAGCAUCUAAGUACGAAACUAGCCACGAGAUGAGAAUUCCAUAUAGGACCGUAGUAGACUACUACGUUGAUAGGUUACAGAUGUAAAGGUGGUGACAUCAAAGUCGAGUAAUACUAAUCAUCCU
rnacentral:rRNA from 1 species